rnacentral:snRNA from 1 species
GGAUAUGAGGGCAAUCUGGUUGCGUCAUCUGUCACCCUGUUGAUUGCCAGGGUUGAUUUGGCUGUUCUGGCUGGUUAGGCAGGUACCUCAAUGCUCCAGGUGAGUCCUUCCCAUAGCUGUGUGCGUGGUUGAAGAGGACAGCCAUCUCUGCUAGAGGAGGACCAUUCUUUGUUCAAGGGUGUACAAAUAGCUGCAUUCCCUUGCUAGAACCUCCAAACAACCUCUCAUAAUAAUGCUGGAAAUACAAAAAUAAAGUAUCAGGAUUUUAUUUUUAAAAUAAUAUGUAGUGCAUUUAGUAUUU